rnacentral:rRNA from 1 species
GACGAACGCUGGCGGCGUGCUUAACACAUGCAAGUCGAGCGGUAAGGCCCUUUCGGGGGUACACGAGCGGCGAACGGGUGAGUAACACGUGGGUGACCUGCCCUCAGCUCUGGGAUAAGCCUGGGAAACCGGGUCUAAUACUGGAUAUGACUCCAUGACGCAUGUUGUGGGGUGGAAAGCCUUGUGCGGCUGAGGAUGGGCCCGCGGCCUAUCAGCUUGUUGGUGGGGUGANGGCCUACCAAGGCGACGACGGGUAGCCGGCCUGAGAGGGCGACCGGCCACACUGGGACUGAGACACGGCCCAGACUCCUACGGGAGGCAGCAGUGGGGAAUCUUGCGCAAUGGGCGAAAAGCCUGACGCAGCGACGCCGCGUGAGGGAUGACGGCCUGGUGUAACUCUUACUAGCUCCGACGAACGACGAGAGUGACGGUAGGAGACGAGAAGAAG